rnacentral:piRNA from 1 species
UGAGAAGGUUUAGCACGAGAACUUGGGAUC